UCACAAAGGCUUGGAAACCAUUCCUCUGAGUCAUUCUGAUGUGUCUGUUGGAUGCUUGCUCUCUGCUGCUCAGUGUACUGUGGUUUGGCAUUUGGUGGAGAAUAUGGGUUGAAGUCCACCAGAGUCAACAUGAGACGUGGGAACUGCUGAGGUCUGCUGGCCAUUCCCCAGAGGAUGAGCCCUGCAAAGCCUGCAGAAUUGCAGUUAAAAUCUCCUCCCUGCUUCUGCCCCAGCCUGUCCAGAGAUCUGCUGGGGGUUUCUGAGUCUUCUCUCUUUUACAGCUAUUGUUCAUGAUUUGGAGGAGGCGAGGAGAAGGAGGAAGGUUUUCAUUCCCCAAGGAGAGACUGAACUUGUCAUUCAAGUUCAGCUGUAAGACUCUACAGUGAAAAUGUUGAAGGCCAGGUGCUCAUUUUUCUUUCUUUUUCUGAUCAGUUGCAAUUGAUCUACAAAUACUACAGGGGAAAGUCUGCAGCUGGAGCUGGGACGAGUUGCUGACACAGAACUGUGUCAGGGGUCCAGGUCCAAAGUGAUCCCCUCUACCACCCAAACCUCUGUGGGGCCUGAGAAAGGGCGCGUGGAGGAGACAAGAUGAACACGAGCUGAGAGACGAUGCCGCAGCUGCUGCUAAUCCCGUCGAGAGUCAAGACUCACACUGACUGGGCACCUUCUAUCUGUUAUCUCGUUUGCUCCCAGUGACGAAGUUUGAGAGCUUUAUGAAGGCCUUGAAGAAUACCCGAAAUAUGUCUGGAGAGCAUAGAAGCGUAAGAAAGAAGUCAGACAGGAAUAGGCCACAAUAUGGCGUCUGCAAACAAGGCGAAGCCAAACCCAGAUGAAGGCGGGAGCUUGGCAUUCUUCAGAGGUGCUCCUCAGACUGCCUUCGGGGAGCGCUGGGCGCAGGAACCUUCACGUUUAGGACCCUCUCUCCCAUCACACGCAUUUCUCAUGUUCAUACUCGGAGCCCGGAAGAUCUGAUUCAAAUCUGGUUCUGAGUUAACUGUGUGCUUUUGGACAAAUGAUCUAAGGCUUCUGAGCCUGCGUAUACUUAUCUUCAAAAGAAGGUAAUAAAAUCCGCCUCCUUAUAUUGUUUUGAGGAAUAAAUGAGAAGACAAAUGCAGAAUACUUAGUGCUGUGGCCUGAAUGUGUCCCCGUGCAACUCAUGUGUUGAAACCCUGACCCCCAAGGUGAGAGCAGGUGAGGCCCUGGGAGGUGAUUACGUCAUGAGGGUGGAGCCCUCAGGGAUGGGAUCAGUGCCCUUAUGGAAGAGGCCCCAAGGAGUGUCUUGCCCCUUCCCUGCCUCCCAAACUAUAAGAAAUAAAUUUCUGUGGUUUACGA